GCUGCGAUGGCCGAGUGGUUAAGGUGUUGUACUCGAAAUCCCACUGAAUAUUUCCAUGCUGGUUCGAGUCCUGUUCGCAGCU
rnacentral:tRNA from 1 species